rnacentral:tRNA from 1 species
GCCGAAGUGGCGGAAUGGCAGACGCAGUUGACUCAAAAUCAUCCGCCCGCAAGGGUGUGUGGGUUCGACUCCCACCUUCGGCA